GAUGAACGCUGGCGGCGUGCCUAAUACAUGCCAGUCGAGCGAACAGAUGAGGAGCUUGCUCCUCUGACGUUAGCGGCGGACGGGUGCGUAACACGUGGAUAACCUACCUAUACGACUGGGAUAAUUUCGGGAAACCGGAGCUAAUACCGGAUAAUAUAUUGAACUGCAUGGUUCAAUCGUGAAAGAAGGUUUUGCUGUCACUUAUAGAUUGAUCCGCGCCGCAUUAGCUAGUUGGUAAGGUAACGGCUUACCAAGGCAACGAUGCGUAGCCGACCCGAGAGGGUGGUCGGCCACACGGGAACUGAGACACGGUCCAGACUCCGACGGGAGGCAGCAGUAGGGAAUCUUCCGCAAUGGGCGAGAGCCUGACGUAGCAACGCCGCGUGAGUGAUGAAGGUCUUCGGAUCGUAAAACUCUGUUAUUAGGGAAGAACAAAUGUUUAAGUAACUAUGCACGUCUUGACGGUACCUAAUCAGAAAGCCACGGCUAACUACGUG
rnacentral:rRNA from 1 species